GUUUGGUUGGUUGUUUUUUUUGUUUUCUGCAGGAUCAUUUCCCCUGCAUCCUCUGCCUUAUUGUGAUGGGAAGGAGAGAGAGGAAAGGGUAGGAUGAAAAAAAGUACAUGGAGCCAUUUUUGCUGUGGGAACAAAGAUUUUCACUUACUGGGCUGAAGAUAGUCUCAAGAUGAGAGUGAGAACUGGCAUAACCUGCUGGGUGUAUGGUAUGAAGAUUCCUCUUGUCCCAAAGAAAUGAUUCUAACAUUUUUAAUACCAAUUCCCCGCAGAGCCUGUGUGCUGACAAGCAGUCGCGGCCAAUACUCGUGCUUCUCUCUUCCCCGUCGGGAACCACGGAUUUAUUUUAUGGAUGGAGCAGGAGGCACGGGGAGUCCUGUGACUGAGCAGGUACGGCUUAGCCAUAACAGGGCAAAGUGCAAAGGAGCUUCAGAAGCUCAGGCAAUGGGGGAUCUGUUGUCCUCUUUGCUGAAAGUCUGCCAGACAAGAGAUGUUUCUUUUGAGCCUUCAUUUACCUUUCUUCCUUGUCUGUUCUCAGCUUUAUAGCUUACAAUAUCUUCUGAACAUGCACAAUUCAUAACCAUGUGUCAGUAGAGUGCCCGGGGAACUAAAAUGCUGUUUUUUGUAAAGGUGAAAGGGUAACAGAGCUACGGGGUAAAUUAGGAAAAGAGGUGGCCAAACUCAACUUAGCUGCAGUCUGAAAAUAAAGAAAACUGUGCCAACAGACUGAAAAUAUAAAUCUUCUUUUACAAAACACAAUUGUACCAUUUCUAUUUUUGUGAACACAUCUGCUCAACAUUUAUAUGUAUCUUUUGUUAUAGAUCAAAAAUGCUUUUGAGUUAUCUCUUCUGACCCACCAGUGGCCCACUUUAUUUAGCAUUCAAUUCUGUCAGACCUUUCAAAGUGUAGUGUUCCCCAAUACUGCCAUUAAGUUGAAUAAUACAUGCACAUGGUUUAAUCCAAGCUGUCUCCAGCAGUUAGUCUCCUUCUGGAGAGUAUCCAGAUGUUGCUUGAAAAGCGAUGACUGGGAAAGAAAUAAACAAAUUCACUUGACGAAUUGGCCAGCGUAUCUUUUGUCUCAGCCAUCUUCCACUUCAAAAAUCUUGUUCAAAUAAAAUAAUUGUGCUUGAGACAUAAGUAGAGCGGACUUUUUUCAUCCCCGAAAGUCAAGAUUUUGUGUAAAGAUGGUAAAACAUAAUUAUUCCAGGCAAACAGAAAUGGAAACUGAGGCCCAGCUUUUGGGUUAAACUCAGUAGAAAAGCAAAGAGAGAAAUCUAGAUAGUCUGGAAUAUUUGGUCUAUGAGCAAAAUUCCUUUCUACAUUAACCAUCCUGUCUGCAAAACAAAAUGUUUCUGUUCAGAGUGCAAAAACAUGGCCAAAUUAUAGUGCUCACUCUGCAACUCUGGGCUAUCAGGUGGGCAACAACAACCCUCUCCCACUGUAAGAGCAGUCUAUGUGAGAAAAAAACUGUUAUUCAUUUCUGCAAGGAAGUUGCUGCAGCAUCACUGCAAAGCCAAGGAGCUCAGUAUUCCUGAAGUGGGUUGGUAUGGUUAUUUUUUAGGUUCACUCUCCAGUUACAUAACAACAUAUGCUUUCCCUAUGUACAACGUUAAAAUAGACUGAGAUUAAAAAAAAAAAAAGUAUUCCUACUGCAAAUGAUAUGGCACUGGUGGUUACUACUGAUACAUCCAUGUCUUUCUCCUCCAAAGCCAGCUACAUGCGGCUUCAAUCUGCCAUGAAAUGCCUAUAAUCUCAGAGCCAUAAUGUAAUAGCAAUAUGCAAGGAAAGGAGCCCAAAGAAAAAGUGUCUGCUUGGCAAUCAGAACUUGGAGACUGUCCCUUAAAGUGUUGGUAUGUCCCUGGAUCUCCCUAGUGUCUCCAGCAGAUAUUUUGUGUUGGAAGAAGGAAAUGCUUCAGCUAAGCCCGAAGACACCUGUUGGAAGGUGUUCUAAAACCAAGGAUUGUCGAUAGCAGGGAUCAGUCCCUGCUGGUGGCAGAUGUUUUAUGCUUGAUAGUGACUGGAAGGAAAAUUUCCUACCCAGAAACUGUCAAGCACAAGAUGUCUGUAGUGUAUUAAGAGCUUUAGAAAUAAA